UACAGAGGUGGCAAGCGUUGUUCGGAAUUACUGGGCGUAAAGGGCGCGUAGGUGGCCUUCUUAGUCAGACGUGAAAUCCCCAGGCUUAACCUGGGAACUGCGUCUGAUACUGGAAGGCUUGAGUUCGGGAGAGGAAUGUGGAAUUCCAGGUGUAGCGGUGAAAUGCGUAGAUAUCUGGAGGAACACCGGUGGCGAAGGCGGCAUUCUGGACCGGCAUUGACGCUGAGGCGCGAAAGCCAGGGGAGCAAACGGGG
rnacentral:rRNA from 1 species